UUUAAACUGCAGGUCAAGGUCCUUUUGUGGGUAAUCAAUUUUGUGGGUCAAAACCAUUUUAAAGUGAAAAAAGAAUAUAAUAUCAAUAGAUUAGAACAAAGUAUAUCAGAGUGCAUCACUCUUGGUUAAACUUUUGGUUUAUAUGUGUAUCUAUGUGAUAUCCUGGGUCAAGAUUAUAGAAUAUGUUUUUCACUAUGGGUAAGGUCAAAGCAGUUUAAAGUCAUUGCCCUAAGGAUCAGUAUAUCUUCUUUCCUCUUUCUCUUUGAAGCUUGCAUUCUUCUGCUCCUAAAGUCUGGGUUCCCUGGAAACAGGGUAAGACAGGGCUUUAAGAUAUCUGCCUCCCACAGCAUACUCCUGCCCGGAGCCAGGGCCCCAGCCUGAGGUUCAGUCAGCCAGUCACAGAUUUUAGAGUCAGAGGCAGGAGUUCAUUCCUGAGCUCCAGCACUUAUGAUCUCAGCAGUCCAAGUCACUGGACCUUUCAGAACAUCUGUUUCUCUCUUGUUGAGUUAACAGCAGUACUUGUCCCACAGGCAAUCAAGGAGGUUACUAUGUGAAAAUAUGGUGUGGCUUAGUAAACUCCCUCCUAUCCUUCAGAGGAGGAAAGCAAACGGAGCCCAUGGUUGAGAAAGUUCUGUCUCCUGAGCAGGGAAAAAAAGACUUCAAGGAAUAGCCCCACAGAGAAACUUAAGAGGUGGCUCUAAACACCCAGGGGCUGCAGACAUUUGAAUCAAGAAAGGGGAGAAACCAAUCAGUGGGAAAAGCUCAGGGCUCUCCAAUGAGCAGUUGCUUUUCCUUUCUCUGUGGAGCUGGAGAGCAGGGCUUGUCUGGAGGGGCUGACAGCACACACCGCUGCAUCCGGAGGGGAGAGAUCCUGAUUGUCGUCCUUUUGCAUAAACUUCAGAAGGAGGACUGGUGUUGAACUCUGUCCUCCCUUCACCCAUAGCAGCAGGUGUGACGGGGCUGCCGGUACUGAAGGUCACUCAGGGUGGGCUCAGAUGUGCAAGGAUCAAGAGCUCUACAGAAAAGCUGUUUUGAGCUUGGGAGACAAAAAGCACUCCAGCCUGCCAGUGGAGCUAUGGUUUUGCCAGUUAUGAUGACUCUAAAGCCCUUUGUCAAUUCUUCUGAGUCCUGGAACACUUGAUCAGCGAGUUGGGCUGCACGUUGCUUUAACCACUGAAGAGAAAGCAGCUUCCCAGGUUUUGCCAUGUUUUAUAACCUGCAAUUUAAUUAUGAUUGUUUAACAAGUGUUCAGGAGCUUCAAAUAGUCCCUAUCAACGUUUGUUCACUCUUUAUAACCACAGCACCCUGUCUUCUAAGGAACUCUCUGUGUUUCCAAUUCAAAGAGGGAGUAUUUGAGAAAAAGAAUAUGGGAAUAAGAUGGGUUCAGAAUUCAGCUAACAGCUCAAGGGAUAAUAAAAUGUUUCAAAUUUGA